rnacentral:rRNA from 1 species
UGUAUAGCGAUAGCUAAUUGUAUUUAAACAUAAUGGAUACAAUAUUGACUAUGUCAAAUAAAAUUCUAGGCAGAAUUAUGAUAAUGACAUUGUCUGCCUAUGUGUCUUGACCAAAUUACGUGCCAGCAGUCGCGGUAAUACGUAGAAGACUAGUGUUAUUCAUCUUUAAUAGGUUUAAAGGGUACCUAGACGGUAAAUCAAGCCUAAAAAGGGGACUAAUUUACUAGAGUUACUUGUGAGGGGGCACUAAAGUACUGAUGGUGUAGAGAUAGAAUUCUGUAAUACCUUUUUCGUAAAGAAAGCAAUGGCACAGGUAUAGGCGAAAGCAUCCCCUUAUGUGAUAACUGACGUUGAAGGACGAAGGCUUUGUGCAGCGAACAGGAUUAGAUACCCUAGUAGUCGAAGCAGAAAAUGAUGAAUGUCAUAGAUUAGACAUAUAAGUUUAUUCUAUAAAUGAAAGUGUAAGCAUUCCACCUCAAGAGUAAUAUGGCAACAUUGGAACUGAAAUCAUUAGACCGUUUCUGAAACCAGUAGUGAAGUAUGUUGUUUAAUUUGAUGAUCCGCAAAAAACCUUACCACAACUUGAAUAUUUAUAGAUAUACCUUUUUAUUAAUAAAAAGAUUAUAGAUAUAUUUACAAGCGUUGCACGGCUGUCUUCAGUUAAUGUCGCGAGACUUUGGUUAGUUCCAUUAAAUUAACGCAAACCCUUGCUUUAUUUUUACAUAAAGUAGUUCCCCACUAGAUUGGACAAGAUAACAGGGACUAAGACAAGUCAUCAUGGCCUUAAUGUUGUGGGCUAUAGACGUGCCACAUAAACCUUACAAAAGGA